rnacentral:sRNA from 2 species
AAUAAUGCUAAGAAAUGGACUGAGAUCAAAUCAAAUCAAAUCAAAUGUGAAAUUCAUGAUCUCAUCAGCCAGUCUAGUCUGAGCAGAUACACUAAAUCAAAAAUCAGAUUUAAUGACAAAAGAAAAUCAGAAACAAGUGAUACUCAUCAAAGAUAUGAAAGAUAGAAUAGCAUUCAAUUGACAAGUAAUACAAAUCAUGAAAAUUCUAUCAGUAAAUAAUGGAAAUAUAUAGAAGAUCAGAAAAGCCACAGCAGAAGAUAAACAGGCUAAAAAUAUAAUCAAAAAUAAUAAAAUAAUCUAUCACAAUAGAUUAAUUUACAUUUCAAAAGCAGUAUAGAAUAAUAUAAUGCAAGAAAAUCAUGAUACAGUAACUACAGAAUAUUUCAGAAUCAAUAAAAUAAUAGAAAGAAUUAUCAGAAUAUACUACUGAUUAGAAAUGUAGAAAGAUAUUCAAAAAUAUAUAUAGAAUUACAAUAUAUAUCAAUGAAGCAAGUC